rnacentral:rRNA from 1 species
UACGUAGGGUGCAAGCGUUAAUCGGAAUUACUGGGCGUAAAGCGUGCGCAGGCGGUUUUGUAAGUCUGUCGUGAAAUCCCCGGGCUUAACCUGGGAAUGGACGGAUGGAGACUGCAAGGCUAGAGUUUGGCAGAGGGGGGUAGAAUUCCACGUGUAGCAGUGAAAUGCGUAGAGAUGUGGAGGAACACCGAUGGCGAAGGCAGCCCCCUGGGUCAAGACUGACGCUCAUGCACGAAAGCGUGGGGAGCAAACAGG